AUGAAAUGCAACGUAUAUGGGGGGGGAACCAAAUGGCCGUCGUGUCCACUGAGGUAUGAGGUGGGAGAACCCAGGAGAAGAACACGUAGUAGCUUGGCUUCAGGUUACACAGCACAACACAUUGUUUCCUGUGGAAAAAAGGGGCUAUUGUAGAGCCAUCCCAUUACGUGUGUUGUUGUUUUUCACCUUUGUACUUGCUGUGCCUUCAACCAUGAAAUGGUGCCGUUGGACUUACUUGGUUUCGGGAAAUGUUUGGCAAAGUGAAUGAAUGCUGAAUCACUUAUUAAUUUGAUUGAAAUUGUACUGAUCUCUUUUGUGGCCAACUGUUAAGGAGGUGUGGGCGCAUUUAAUGUCCUUAGCCUAUUGUAUGAUUGUAUGAUUGUAUGAAUAGGUUAAUGUCAAAUACUGGGAUGACCAAAUGCUAACCUAUUAACGAGGUUUACUAAGUCCUUGCCAAAGUCCAGCAGAUAACCACAUAAAAAUUGACAUUAAGGUUUCAAAAGGUUUGUGCCUGCUUGUGUGUGUGUGUGUGUGUGUGUGUGUGUGUGUGUGUGUGUGUGUGUGUGUGUGUGUGUGUGUGUGUGUGUGUGUGUGUGUGUGUGUUUGUGUAAGUGUGUGUGCUAAGGUUUACAGCGGUUGAUAAGACAAGAUAAGUGUAAUAAAGGUGACAUCAUUGAAAAACCUUGACGUACCGAACAGGCAAGGGAACUAGUGUUUCUUUAAUGUGAUUCCUGACAUCACCUGUCACUAAUGCUUGCAAAUGGGAUGAUUAACUUUAGUUAAAUACUCAAAGCACUUCUGAUAAUGGUGGUUGCAGCUGGUUGACCGACGAGUUCCUCAGGAUGAGGUCACGAUAUCGAUACUGGGAACUAGGCCGGAGGAAAGACGAUAAGAUUAACCAAUACCUACUGGGCGACACAAUGGUAGAACGUCAUCACAGAGAACAACAGGGUCUGACUGUAGAUGAUGUUCUGUGAUAGUCGAUGAGGUAGGAAUCACAGUUAUUCAUUGACGACAAGUGUUAGGUUGCUAACAGUCAGACUAGUGACCCGGGUGUGAUUAGAGAGUGAUAGUGACAGGAACAAGCCCUUCAAUCACUCAGUGCAGAGAGGUCUGCAACUGUUUUAUACUUUUAUACUUUACUGUCUGCUGAGUAUCUGUGUCAUACGUUAUGCUCCUCAUUUAUUUUCUCGAUCUUGAACCGACUUAGAAUAGAUUUGGAGUAAGUGCCUGAAGGCCUGGUUUUGUAACGUCAUUUCAGAGUGGAUAACUCCUCAUUCACUCGUUGCGCAACAGGAUAGGAUGAGAUUUAGGAUUUUUUCGGUGCUUUAAACUGAAGUAAGUACUGUGGUACUAAGUGUAAGUAAGUAGUAAGUGAAUACUGAUCGGGAAGUGUGUGUAUGUGUGCGUGCCUGCGACGUGUAUGCCCAUGUGCAUGUCUAGGUGGAGACUACAGGCCUGUGAGUUAUGGGUUUCCUUCCCUGCGUUAUGCAGCAGAACAGAAUGGUCUCUUCAGCUCCUGCAGAGCAGCUGGGCUCUGAGAAAACAAAUACCAAAGGUUAUCAGUAGCUAAUACGAGGGCCGGGCAUGUGUGUGGCUGUGUGCUCUCAGUAAUAAUGGUUAUCUGUUAGCACCACACCCUCGUGUAUUGAAUUACCAUAAGACUGUUCAUGUGAUAUGUCAGCAUUGUCACCUGUCACCUGUGUGUGUGUGUGUGUGUGUGUGUGUGUGUGUGUGUGUGUGUGUGUGUGUGUGUGUGUGUGUGUGUGUGUGUGUGUGUGUGUGUGUGUGUGUGUGUGUGUACGUUCAUGCGGACAGGCCUACUAUGUUUUAUUAAAAUAUCCCAUCUUUUUUCCCAUCACAUCUUUUCUUUAAAUUCAGCAACAAAUAGGCUCAUAGAACAUAUAAAGAUAGAUUGUUAUCUCAUUGUUUAAUUGGUUAAAAAUAUGUCUUAUUAGUUAGCAUUCAGUAUUUAAAGAAAGAGCGGUCUUUCAGAGAGCACCUCACUUUGGCAGAAUGACCCACGGCAAACAGAAUAGAGAAUAGAGACGAGAGACGAGGAGGAAUGUGUUCUAAUCCUGCUGUGUUUGAGCAGGCCUUGGCAGACCGACUCAACAGGCUGGUCGCCCGUGUGUCGGCCUUUUGUGGGACCGGGCGCGACGGAAACAUGUUCACAUAAUUGAUCGGGGAAACGGCAAGCUCUUUGUCCAACAGGUGAAUAGCAUGACCGUGGAAACGGGCGAACUAGGUGGAAAAAGUCUGGUCUUCUGUGAGUCCGAUUUCACGGUGCUUUUACGCUAAACGUGGAGCCAGUGAGGGAACAGCCUUGGCCUGUGUACGCUGCAGCUGUAUUCGCCCAGAGAGGCAGACAUCAAAGCCUGAACAACAAACAGCGUCUCGGCCGUAGCCGAAUAAAGGAGCGGAAAAAACGACCGGACGUCGCAGUGUUUCCACCGAACCCGGACUCACUCAGCCUUUGUGCGCACUUGUGCACAUGCGCGCGUGUGUGUGUGUGUGUGUGUGUGUGUGUGUGUGUGUGUGUGUGUGUGUGUGUGUGUGUGUGUGUGUGGAGGCCAGGUUGUGUUCUCCUAGCAGCUAAUGACAGACAGGGGGGGCUGGAGGUAGUGGGGGGAAUGGGAGGAGGGACUUUGUGAUCGCUGGCAAGUGAUGCACCAAAACUGGCUGCGGUGGCUUUUCUGUGUGUGUGUGUGUUUGUUUGUGUGUGUGUCUAUGUGCUAUGUGUCUGCCUCCACAAUAUGGUUCUCUCAAGAUCUCCUCUACCCGUACCCCCCCCACACACACUUCUUUGACGGUAGCCAUUGUUAUUCUGCUCCCAGAGAUGACGCAAUUGAACACACACGCACGCACGCACACGCACACGCACACACACAGAUCACCGGAUUCAUGCUGUCAUGUGAUUAUUAUCAUCUCUGCUUUCCUUGGUAACGGACGAAAAAUUAAAAACCACAAAAAUCACACUUUUACCUCGUUCCUCUAUUGUCGCUAGGAACAUGCCCCUAGCCGCGUGGCCACCGCCUUGAAAGAUCCAUGAAGGUUGCCUUUAAUGGCACAUGAGACAAACAACCCUGCAUCCUUUUAACACAUGCUAGGAUGAUACCAGCGCGACAAUAAAAAUAAAUAAACAACGAUAACUCAAUGUCAGCUCGUUGACGCUGGGUCAAACUCCAUUUCAGAAAUAGUGCGUUGUCACAAUGGUAAUAAGAGAGAGAGACACUCCACUUUAUAGAUGAACCUAUUGGAUUUGUUCUUUAUUCUGCCCUUUAUUCUGGUCUGGGAGUACUCUAAAGCUAUUGGUGGACUAAUCAAACCAGUCCUCCACACAUUUGCCCACUGAUACAAUUCUGGACAAAUAAAAUAAAUAAAUAAAAUAUCAUUCAGAAGUGACAAAAAGGGCGAAAAUGCAAAAUCCUGUUGGCAAGAAAGGCACCACUUGCGCUAACGAGCUAAAGUCCUCUUCAGCCCAGAGAGUUGAUUUGAUUUAUAAGACUCACGAAUUUGAGUUAAAAGCAGGAUGAUUGGCUUUAAAUUGCAGCAAAAGUUGUAAAUGUACUCAAAUAAAAUUAGGUACUUAAGAUAUGAAAUACUUAAGUUAUGAAAUGAUUGUAAAUGUUGUGCCUGUUGAACUCCCAGGUACUACUUUGUUAACUACUUGUCUCUAUUUGGCCAAUGGAAUGUUUUACGUCCUGGCACUUAAAGGUGGGGUAUGGGAUUUGCGAAACGCGAGCAGAUUUUGAAAACACACAACUCAAAUGGUCCUACCCCUCCUCCUUCAACGCUGAUUCCGACUCCACCCAUUCCAAGUAAAUGGACGCGCAAUCAUGCACAAGCGAACACAGAUGCGCGAGAGCGAGCCAUUAGCUAGUUAGCUUGCUCCAGUAGCUACCGCAGGAUAACAACAGAAGCUUGCUCUGGGUCACGAGCUUUGAGUUCGUGCUGGAAGGGGUCGCGCGGGGAGCGGGGAAGGGGGAGUGCAGUACGACCGUUUGAUUGACGUAUUUACUGUCCAAUGCCACUCGGUGGGUCUGGAAAUGAUUGGCUGGUGUUUUUCGAGCCCUGCCCGUUCCACAGAUGAUGAUAUUCAUGCCAGUACUUCUAACUCAGUGGCUGUAAGUGGGUUAUGAUAAGGAUUUCAAGUAAUUUUGCAAAACUUGCCAAAAAAGAGAAUUCCAUACCCAACCUUUAAUGUACGCACUUAAUGUAUGUUGUACGUCCUGGCACUUCAUGUACGCACUCAUUGUAUCUUGUACGUCCUGGCACUUAAUGUACGCACUUAUUGUGUGUUUUACGUCCUGCCACUCCAAUGGCACUGGCACUACACAUUUUUGGAUACAGGGAAUGGGUUAAUCUAGCUGUUAAUGCUCGUUGAGAGCACUAACAACCUCUGCAUCCCAGCACCUCAGAGAGGUCUGCUAAAUGCCCUUAAUCUAAAUGGGCUGUUUUUAAUAAGCUCUAUGUAGUUCUAGUCCAUUCAGGGCAGGAUAACUGCUAUUGCAACACAUUGAACUCGUGGC
ensembl:lncRNA